CAGCCGUAAACAAUGUGCGUUAGGUGUGUCGGUAACCACGCGUUACUGAUGCGCCGAAGAGAAAUCGUGAAACGCACCACCUGGGAAGUACGGUCGCAAGGCUGAAACUUAAAGGAAUUGGCGGGGGAGCACCACAACAGGUGGAGCCUGCGGUUUAAUUGGAUUCAACGCCGGACAUCUCACCGGAUAAGACAGCUGAAUGACUGUCAAUCUGAAGGUUUUACAUGACUAGCUGAGAGGAGGUGCAUGGCGUAGACGUCU
rnacentral:rRNA from 1 species